GACGAACGCUGGCGGCGUGCCUAAUACAUGCAAGUCGAGCGAGUCUGCCAUGAAGAUCGGCGUGUUUGCUUUCUGUGAAACAAGAUACUGGCUAGUGGCUGACGGGUGUGUAACACGUGGGUAACUUGCCCAAGCGAUCGGGAUUACCCCUGGAUAUAGUUGAUAAUAUCGGAUAAUAAUAGAUGAUGCCUUUCAUCUGAUUUAUAGAUGGUUCUGCUCUCCCUUUUGGAUGGACCUGCGGUGCAUUAGCUAGUUGGUAGGGUAACGGCCUACCAAGGCGAUGAUGCAUAGCCGAGUUGAGAGAGUGAUCGGCCACAUUGGAACUGAGACACGGCCCAGACUCCUACGGGAGGCAGCAGUAGGGAAUCUUCCGCAAUGGACGAAAGUCUGAUGGAGCAACGCCGCGUGAGUGAAGAAGGGUUUCGGCUCGUAAAACUCUGUUAUUAGUGAAGAAGAACAGUGGAAGUAACUAACCUCGGUUUGACGGUAAUCAAUGAGAAAGCCACGGCUAACUACGUG
rnacentral:rRNA from 1 species